AUUGAACGCUGGCGGCAGGCCUAACACAUGCAAGUCGAGCGGAUGAAGGGAGCUUGCUCCUGGAUUCAGCGGCGGACGGGUGAGUAAUGCCUAGGAAUCUGCCUGGUAGUGGGGGAUAACGUCCGGAAACGGGCGCUAAUACCGCAUACGUCCUGAGGGAGAAAGUGGGGGAUCUUCGGACCUCACGCUAUCAGAUGAGCCUAGGUCGGAUUAGCUAGUUGGUGGGGUAAAGGCCUACCAAGGCGACGAUCCGUAACUGGUCUGAGAGGAUGAUCAGUCAACUGGGAACGGAGACAGGGCCCAAACCCCACGGGGGGCCAGAGGUGGGAAUCUUUGGACAAGGGCGAAAACCCGGCCCCGGCCAGCCCGGGGAGGGGAAAAGGUUUUUGGAUUUGAAAAGCCCUUUACUUUGGAAGAAAGGGAAGUAAAUUAAUUCUUUGCGUUUUGGCGGUUCCCAACAGGAUAACCACCGGCAAACUUCUG
rnacentral:rRNA from 1 species